AUGGAUGAAAUGCUUGCAGCAAUAAGCAGAUCUGUAAGUAACACUGGUCCCUUUCCAGUUUCCACUGGCUGGGACCAGGGAAAGAAGGCACAGGGAGGUGGUCCAGUUAAAGAACCCAGCAGCCUAUUUCACAUGAAGAAGAGGAAAUACCUUUCCCCAGGGCACCCCAUAAAACUCCUUCUGCUAUGGCUUUCACUCUGCUGGCAGCUUCUCAGAUGCUGUGAGAAGCAUCCAGCGGCUUCAAGGAAUUCAUCACCAGCACAGGCCCUGAGGGCUGUGUGCCCUCGAUACCCUCUGAAACUGCUUUGCCUGCUGCUGUCCUAUGGACAGGACCCAGGACUGGGGUGGUAAGGAUGUUACCCAGCCUUUCCAUCAAGAGCGGUGCUGGGGAUGCGGCUGCAGAGAUGUGGACCGUUCCUGGGGAUGCUGCUUUGCUGCUCUGUGCCUCAGUUUCCCUGUUCACCCUUGUUAUUUGUGACCAUUUUUGUG
rnacentral:lncRNA from 1 species